GGCGGGGUAGCUCAGUGGCAGAGCUACGGACUCAUAAGCCGUCGGUCGUGGGUUCGAAUCCCACCCCCGCCACCA
rnacentral:tRNA from 2 species